AUUGAACGCUGGCGGCAGGCCUAACACAUGCAAGUCGAACGAGUGGCGGACGGGUGAGUAAUGUCUGGGAAACUGCCCGAUGGAGGGGGAUAACUACUGGAAACGGUAGCUAAUACCGCAUACCAUCGGAUGUGCCCAGAUGGGAUUAGCUUGUAGGGGAGGUAACGGCUCACCAAGGCAACGAUCCGUAGCUGGUUUGAGAGGACGACCAGCCACACUGGGACUGAGACACUGCCCAGACUCCUACGGGAGGCAGCAGUGGGGAAUUUUGGACAAUGGGGGAAACCCUGAUCCAGCCAUCCCGCGUGUAUGAUGAAGGCCUUCGGGUUGUAAAGUACUUUUGGCAGAGAAGCGGUAUCUGCAGAAUAAGCACCGGCUAACUACGUGCCAGCAGCCGCGGUAAUAC
rnacentral:rRNA from 1 species